rnacentral:rRNA from 1 species
GACGGGGGGGGCAAGUGUUCUUCGGAAUUACUGGGCGUAAAGGGAGCGUAGGCGGAUAGUUUAGUCAGAGGUGAAAGCCCAGGGCUCAACCUUGGAAUUGCCUUUGAUACUGGCUAUCUUGAGUACGGAAGAGGUAUGUGGAACUCCGAGUGUAGAGGUGAAAUUCGUAGAUAUUCGGAAGAACACCAGUGGCGAAGGCGACAUACUGGUCCGUUACUGACGCUGAGGCUCGAAAGCGUGGGGAGCAAACAGG